rnacentral:tRNA from 1 species
GUACCCUUAGCUCAGUUGGUUAGAGCAGACGGCUCAUAACCGUCCGGUCGUAGGUUCGACUCCUACAGGGUACC